CUUGGUUCUCAUUAUUUUCAAAAUUAAAUUUUCUCUAUCUUAUUUUUAGCUACACAUUUUUAAUAAAAUAAUAUUACAUGAAAAUUCAAAAAAAAAAAUUUGGUACUAUUAGAGAUAGGAUUAAUAGGUCCACAUAUAUCUGAAUGAACUAGUUGAAGGAUAUAUGAGGACUUCCAAGCGCUGUUUUAAAGAAAUGUAUCACAGUGUUGCUUUCCAAUCACACAUUCUUCCCAUAUUUUUGAGAGAGCUUGCAUCCUUGGUAAUCCAAUAAUCAUUUGCUGCUAUUGUAAAGUUUUCAAAUCAUUGAAACUUAAAUUUCCACACCUAUAAUGCUAUAUCCAGCUUGCAUCCUCCAGAGGGGUAGAUUAUUUCUAAUGGAAACAUGCUAUUUGGAGCCAUCUCAACUUGUAUCAUUAAACCAUUCUCAUGAUGAUGAAUUUGAUGCACAUGUCUCUGAAUAAGAAUAGCAAAUCUCUUUUCUUGUAAUUGAUCGAGUCUGAUAAGAUUGCUCUUCAAUUCAAGUACAUAGAAAACUCCAAAACUGUAGUGCUACACUCUAUUUACUUCAAUGUUGAUGUCUCAUUUCCUCUUGAUACAUAGGCUAUAGUUGUUUUCCAGUCUCACAUCAUCUCUGAAGUUUCAUCAAGUUGUACACAAAAGCUUCUUGUCUCCUCUUGUGUUGUUACUGCAUCCAGAAUUAAGAUAUCACAAGUAAUAUUUCUUCAUUUUGAGGGCACUCAUAUUGAAAAUGCCCCUAAUUCAUGGCAACUGUAACAUUCAACAAUAAACUUAUCAAAUGAUCCAUGCUUCUCUAUUUAUCUUCCUCU
rnacentral:lncRNA from 1 species